rnacentral:sRNA from 2 species
UCGCGUCAAGCGCCGUAGGCAGGAGCGGGGGACCCAAGGUAAGUGCCGCGCCCGGACAUCGACCGGGCCGGCUUGGGGUGGAGCCGUGCGCCCAGUUGCGCACGGCCGGGCAACUCAACCGGCCCGAACCCGACAGCUCACCUCGCAGGCGUCGGUGAGGGGAUCG